rnacentral:rRNA from 1 species
UAGAGUGCUCCAGGCAGGCCUAUGCUUGAAUACAUUAGCAAGCAAUAACGAAAUGGGACGUGGGGGUUUCUUUUGUUGGUUUCUAGGACCGCGGUAAUGAUUAAUAGGGACAGUAGGGGGCAUCAGCCUCAAUUGUCAGAGGUGAAAUUCUUGGAUUUAUUGAAGACUAACUAGUGCGAAAGCAUUUGCCAAGGAUGUUUUCAUUAAUCAGGAACGAAAGUUAGGGGAUCGAAGACGAUCAGAUACCGUCGUAGUCUUAACCAUAAACUAUGCCG